CUCAACUAAAUCACUGCUCGGUCCUAUCUGCUCCUUGCUUGAUCCUUGUCACUACUCGUCUGCCCCUCGCGAGCAUCAGUCUUCCGUUUGCUGUCAUCUCUCCUUUCCAUAGUCUCGUUGUUCACAAGCGUGGGCAACCCCGGCGGCAAGGGGUGGUAUCUCUGGAAGGCGCUUUCGUCGGUCGCAAUAGUUGGCGGUCAAGUAACGGUGACCGCAUUUUAGUCGCAUUCUGCUCAUCCAUCUCUAUUGCGGAUGCCUUCUUUAAUCAGAUGGUGUGCUUUUUUGUUGCUGAUAUUUUAGAGUUUUGGAUCAUCUUUCGAUGGUUGAGAGCUUGGUGGGAUGGAAUUCUACGUCGUAUUUCUGGUAAAUUUGACUUCUGUUUGCAGUCCACAGAUUGCUAGUUCAUUGGAGCUUGAGAAGGCUGAAUUCUUUCUUGAAAGUGUUAUGAAUGCUGUUGCCAAGUGAUGAUAUUCCUUGGAGAACGGGGUUUGCAGUUGAUUCGUGAUAAGUCCAGAUGAAAUCAAAACUCUAGCUAUGGUGA
rnacentral:lncRNA from 1 species